rnacentral:lncRNA from 1 species
AUGGAACGGGAAAACAGUCUGGGGUGGCUGCAGCCAAGGGGCCAAGUCAUUACCAGAUUUUGGGAACAAAACGGGCUGUUCCUCUUGGUUCCCGGUGGUUUGGUGACUCAGGGUCGGUGGUGGGCUCAAUCCCAUCGUUUCCCCAGCGCUUCCAGCCCGGAGCAGCUCUGCUCCUGGAGCAAACUUGUCUCCUGGGAACCUCAGGCCAGGCUGUGGGCGGGAGGUUUGGGUGGAACGCCAGCGGGAUUGUUACGAUUUUCAUUUUUUUUUUGGCAAAUUUUAAACAAACAUUUGGGCAAAGCUCUCAACUCCGGCUGGAAAAUUCCCGCUGCCUCCCGCCGGGGCGCACCGAGGAGCUGCCGGAGCCUCUCGAUGUGUCCGCAGCAGCCACCGCGGCUGCCUCCGGGAAUUGUUCUGUGUCCCAGCUCAGCGCAGCAGAGAUCCCGCAGGAACGAUUUCAAUCCCUCCGGCUGCCCCCGCUGGGAGCCGGCCCGGGGGCUGGGGCCACCCCUGCCCCAGCUCCUGCCUCCUGCUAAAUCCCAAAUGCGGCUUUGGCCGCGGGUGGUGGCGGCUGUCGGGGAGCGCAGAGCGCGGCAUUGCUUCUGCUCUGGGAAAAACCCGCCGGUUUCUCCCCAAAUCAUCCCUGGGGUGAUCCCUGGGAACCCUCCUUGGCACCCAGGGACCUCCAUUGGGUCCCCAAGCAGGACCCUCACACCGGACCCCCCCCAGACCUCCAUGGGGUCCCCAAGCAGGACCCUCACACCGGACCCCCCCGGACCUCCAUGGGGUCCCCGAGCAGGACCCUCACACCGGACCCCCCCUGGUUCUCCAUGGGGUCCCCAAGCAGGACCCUCACACCGGAUCCCCCCUGGUUCUCCAUGGGGUCCCCGAGCAGGACCCUCACACCGGACCCCCCCAGACCUCCAUGGGGUCCCCGAGCAGGACCCUCACACCGGACCCCACCCCAGACCUCCAUGGGGUCCCCGAGCACCCGAGCAGGACCCUCACACCGGACCCCCCCGGACUCCGCGUGGUCCCGACUCGGGGCCCGGGCCCGGAGCGAUGCCGGGCACCGCCGGACACCGGGCGUGGUCUGUCUCCAAAGCCGCGUUUAACGCCCAAGUGGGUGGGCUCGGCUCCGAAAGGGGCGCGCCCCGCCGUGCCCCCGCCCCCGGGGGCCAUAUAGCGGCGCACGGGCCGGCCCGGCCCGGCCAUGACCCUGCGGCGGCGGCGGCGGCGGCGGCUCCGGCCGAAGGACGAUGA